CGCCCAGAGAGGGGUGCGCAGAGCUGCGGCUCCGGUUGCGGUUCCCGCAGCGAAGCGAGCGCGCCAGGCGAGGCCACGCAGCGGCCGCGGCUGGCGCGAGGGGCCCGGGGCCCAGCAGGGAUGCGUCUGUUUCUUUGCUUCCUACUGUAGAGCAGUCGCCCCGGGGGCUGGGACGCCGUUAGUCCCCAGGAACUGUUGUGGAAGGAUGGUGUCACUCCAGCUCUGAAGACCCAGAAGAUACCCAGGCUCCAUGCCCCAGAGACCUGCAUGAGGAAUGGGCAGGCAGACUUUGCCACCAAAACCACUGAGCUGAGGGGCAAGCAUGAAGAGAAACUUCAGCUAUUGUUCCCUAAGAGUCCAGUGACUGAGGUGAAGAGAGAGCACUGCUUGAAGAGCACUGCGGAAGUGGUUCCAAAAGUCCUGAAGCAAGAGCUGACCAACCAUGGCAAGGACCCGCUGCAGAAUGUCUUGGAGCCAUUCCCUACUCUGAGUCACAACCUUAUAGCUGAUUAAGGACUCUGGGGCGCCUCCUAUCCCCCACACUUUCCCUUGUGCUCUCAAGAAGGGCAAUUUUAGGCUGACCCAAAACUGGAUUAUUAAAGCCAAUUUUCAAG
rnacentral:lncRNA from 1 species